UACGAAGGGGGCUAGCGUUGUUCGGAAUUACUGGGUGUAAAGCGCACGUAGGCGGAUAUUUAAGUCGGGGGUGAAAUCCCGGGGCUCAACCCCGGAACUGCCUUCGAUACUGGGUAUCUUGAGUUCGGAAGAGGUGAGUGGAAUUGCGAGUGUAGAGGUGAAAUUCGUAGAUAUUCGCAGGAACACCAGUGGCGAAGGCGGCUCACUGGUCCGAUACUGACGCUGAGGUGCGAAAGCGUGGGGAGCAAACAGG
rnacentral:rRNA from 1 species